UGAAGGAGUGGGAGGGUGACUGGGACUGUGCUGAUGAGAUUGAAGGAAUGAGGAGGCAAGGAAUGAGAUGACUCCACUAACUAUGACAAUGUGCCAUUUACUGGAGAAAGUCCUGGGGUCUCCAAGGGAAGAUGGAGGGCCCAAAUCAGGACUUGCAGUGACAGCACAAGGUGGGAUAGGUUGAGAAAUAGUCACCUUUCCAAGCCCCAGACUUGUUCAUUUGAAUCCCAGGAGAGUUUAUGUCUGCAAUUGGAAACUGGAGAUGGAGAAGCCCUCCAAUGAGUCUCAUUAACAAAGCCAGUCUCUGCACAAUAAGCCAGUGCAGGAUAUUUCUUUGCAGCGCAUUACUGAAGACUUAAUUCUACUUUGGAUUUAAAUGUGCCAGACACUGGGGCUGCCAACUCUUCCCAGGGCUAUUUCUCCCACCCCUGGAUAGCCGUUGCUGAGGCAUUGCCCUAUGCACACUUCCUGCAGGGCAGUGCUGGGCUUCUUCAGAAACACCAAGUCUUCCUUGCCUCUUGUUUUUCAUGUCAUUCUCAGGAACAGAUCCAAGGCCCAUUGAAGUGAAUGGAAAUACUCUAUUACAGCUGAAUUCCAGUCAGCCCUGGGCACUGUUUCACGGAUUACCUCAUUCUCCCAUUUCCAGUCAGUUCCUCGGCACUGCUUGGAAGCAGUUCUAAGAUGGUGCCUGCACAGGCUGAGUUCCCUCUUUCUGGGCAUUGAUUUUUAAGACAAGAGUACCAAUGGCUCGAUGAGGACAACGAGCAAAGAACCACAAUCAAUUUGGCAGGGGUAGUUGAGUGCUACUCUGGUAGGCGUUGGGCUGGCAAGAGCUCGGCACCAACAGGUAAGUAGACAUUAACCUGAAAUGUAACUGAGAAUGUAAUCUUCUCCCACAGGUAAAUGGACAAUGAUUUAAAUAGUGCUGAGAGUGCCAUCAGCUCCCACAGGUAUCCCUUGUGAGGCAUCAUUUGAAAACUCAAUCUACUAAACAUUGUUGUCCUGGUAAAAUGUGUAUAUCAACAUUGUAUGUAAAGUUACAAGAUUCUACUGUAUAACAUUGCUAUAUCAUGCUCCAAGCUUAGGAAAACAGGAACAAACCAGUUCCUCAGAAACAAAAGACAACCAACACCUUGGCCAAGUGUCAACAAAGACAAGUAGACCAUCACCUACUUAAGCGGCCAGUCUUCGGCAGGAAGAAGGGUGUAAGCAAAAACUUUACUGAUUUACAAUAGAACACAGACUUGCAGUCACCUGAACCCUGGCUGGAGAUAAUCCUCAAGGAGGGGAGAAUGGUAUAACAAGAGAGGACACCUCUCUCCUCCACGUCUCUCUGCUCAUGGCAGUAACAAUGCCUGAAGUUGCAUCUGAUGAAGUGGGUUUUAGCCCACGAAAGCUUAUGCCCAAAUAAAUGUAUUAGUCUCUAAGGUGCCAUAAGUACUCCUCGUUGUUUUUGCUGAUACAGACUAACACAGCUACCACUCUGAAUGCCUGAAGUAACAUUGAACUGGGGGUAGGGGUCCCAACCAGUAAGGACUGCAAAGAGCAUCUGACAGACUGCGGGUGAGCUCAGCUUACAUGGGUAAGCAGACAAUGUCUUCAACUGUUAUGCACAAGCUUUCUGUGAGCUCAGCUCCUACAGACAACUACACGUUGACUUGCAGUGAUGCUGAGAGUCCAAUCAGCUCCAUCAGGUAAAUGCACAACGACUGAAAUCACCUUGACAGUGCAAUCAGUGGACAAGACUCUCACUCUUUUAGACAGGCUGCCCGGGGAACUCAGCUCCCAUGGCAAAUGGACAGUGGUCUCCGCUGUUAUGGAUAAAUGCUGAAACCAGGCAGUUGCUGGCAAGCCCCCUGCCUCAAGCCAACAGCCAGUGAUGUUUACAUUGACCAGGAUUUCUCUGCAGUUAAAUGCCAUGAGCCCACAACAGGAGCUGGGCCAGCCUGGCAGGCACAGGACUGAGCGUGUCUUUGUCUCUACGAGCCAUGGGAUGAUCAGCAACCGACUAUGGAGGAAGCCACACUCAGGUUGGCAAGGGUGGUUCCAGCAAGCCCAGUUCCAACAGGCAGGGGAACAAGUUCUGCCCCAAUAAAUCAUUUAAUCCUCCUCCCCACAAAGAAAUCAUUGGCCCUACAAUUCAAUUCUUCACUUAAAUGAAUUAAUGCUGCUCCCUCCCCAAACCAACAGGUAAAUUGACAUUUUCCCCUCCCCCCCUCGUUGUUACAGACAGGCUGCCUGGGAGCUCAGCUCCCACGGCAAGUGGAUCUGCAUCUGGCUCUCCUAUUUAAUGGAUGAGCUGCCGGUGAGCUCCCCUCCUGUGGGCCAGCAGGCAACGAUCCCCACUGUUCCGUAUAACUGAGCAAGGAACCCUGCCAAAACUGGCCAUUUGCUGGCGAGUCGCCCGCCUCAAGUCACCAGCCAGUGACUUUACACCAAAACCAAGAUUGUUCUUCAGCAAGCUGCUGUGGGCCCACAACAGCAGCUGGGCCCGCACAUGGGGGCACCUGACUUUGUGUCUAUAGCCAUGGGACAAUUGGUGAUGGACUAUGCACCUAGCUCAAAAUGGCAGGGGCGGUCAAGCAUGGCUCUGGUGGGUAGGAUUCCAGCAAGCCCAGUUCCAUCAAACAGGGAAUGAGUUCUGUCCAGGUACAAGGCUUAAUCCUCCUCCUCAAAUAAAUCAUCUGCUGUA